GGCGAACGGGUGAGUAACACGUGGGCAAUCUGCCCUGCACUCUGGGACAAGCCCUGGAAACGGGGUCUAAUACCGGAUACUGACCACUGGGGGCAUCCUCGGUGGUCGAAAGCUCCGGCGGUGCAGGAUGAGCCCGCGGCCUAUCAGCUUGUUGGUGAGGUAGUGGCUCACCAAGGCGACGACGGGUAGCCGGCCUGAGAGGGCGACCGGCCACACUGGGACUGAGACACGGCCCAGACUCCUACGGGAGGCAGCAGUGGGGAAUAUUGCACAAUGGGCGAAAGCCUGAUGCAGCGACGCCGCGUGAGGGAUGACGGCCUUCGGGUUGUAAACCUCUUUCAGCAGGGAAGAAGCGAAAGUGACGGUACCUG
rnacentral:rRNA from 1 species